AUGUGAAUCACUUGGGAAUUUUAUUAAAAUACAGAUUCUGAUUCAGUAGGUCUAUGCAGGGGCCUGAGAUUCUGCAUUUCUAACAAGCACCCUAGGGGUACUGAU
rnacentral:miRNA from 1 species